rnacentral:rRNA from 1 species
UACGAAGGGGGCUAGCGUUGCUCGGAAUUACUGGGCGUAAAGGGAGCGUAGGCGGAUAGUUAAGUUGGGGGUGAAAGCCCGGGGCUCAACCUCGGAAUUGCCUUCAAUACUGGCUAUCUAGAGUAUGGGAGAGGUGUGUGGAACUCCGAGUGUAGAGGUGAAAUUCGUAGAUAUUCGCAAGAACACCAGUGGCGAAGGCGGCUCACUGGCCCGAUACUGACGCUGAGGCACGAAAGCGUGGGGAGCAAACGGG